rnacentral:lncRNA from 1 species
ACCUUGGGGAGGGGCCAGCUGCUGUGUUCAGUCCGCCAAGGCAAACGCUAAGCUCUUCCAGAAACGCCCUCACAGACACCCCGGAAGUCACGUACCCACUCUCUAGGUGCCCUGGGGCACAGGCAAGCUGACGAGCCAGUUAUCCCUCAGAGCUCCUGCUGCCUCGCCUGCUUUCUCUCGGAAACGUGAAGUGCGGCCUCAGCUGAAAGUGAGGUGGGCUCAUUCAAUCAGUUGAAUUCUUCAAGAGAGAAAAACUGAAGUCCCUUAGAAGGAAAGAGUUCUGCCUUCAGACUGUCUUUGAACUUAAGACUGUAGCGUCGACUCCUGCCGGAAUUUCCAGCCUGCUGGCCAGCUCUGCAGAUUCACACUUGCCAGCCUCCACAAUCGCAGCUGAGGCGGGGGAACCCUAAGGGCUCAUUGACAUCAUGGAUUUGCCCUUCUAUGCAUUGAUGGAGCACCUGCUGCCCACAGCGUCUGUAUUUGGUGCUGGGAUGCUGAGGACACUGAGAUCUUCAAACAGAGGCUGCCACUCUAAGCAAACAGAUCCCGAGCCCUGGACUCUGAAGCUUGGGCCCAGUUCUCCUUUUCUCCGGGUUUCAGAUCCCACUGUGAAGUGAGGGGGCCCUUCUGAUUCAGGACCUGGGGAAGCCAGGGGCAUGAGCAUCGGUGCCUCUUCUCUAUUUCAAGGACCCUUCUGGGUGUAAAGUUCUCUGAGAUGCCUUACAUGGAUUCCAACCACUGCAAGAUAACCAUCGUAUGUAAAGUGUUAUGACCAGCAGAGUGUAAUUGAAGUGCAUUCCAGAGGGAAAGACAGCGGCUCAGAUGAGGCUUCAGGCUUGACCAAAUCUGACUGGCUGGCUGCCGGAGACACUGCUACCCAUUGGCCCUUAAUAAAUGGCCUCAUUGAUCAUCAUGUGAUCUUCAGAAGCUGGGCUUGAUUAUCCUUGCCAAACAAAAUGCUGAAACCAAAAAUCUGAAAGUAAAUCAAAGGUUUCGCCAUCAUGUAAACCCUUGGGCGACAGAGUCUCCCUGUCUCCCCCUGAUAUUGUUCUAUGAGAUUUCGAUGCUAUCUUCAUUGCCAGCAGCCCUGACAAAGAUGCACUGCAGACAGAUAGCCUCCCAGGAAUCUGCUUACCUCAGAGCCUGCUGCGGACUGAGUUGUCUUCUCCAAAAUCCAUUUGUGGAGGCCCUCAUCCCCAAUGGGAGAGUAUUUGGAGAUGAAGCAUUUGGAGGUGAUUAAGCUUAGAUGAGCUCAGAGUGGAGCCUCAGGAUGGCAUCGAUGCCCUGGUAAAGAGGGACACUGAGACCUGGCCCUCCCUUGCUCUCCACCGUGUGAGGACACAGUGAGAUGGUGGCCACUUACAAGCCAGGAACUGAACCCUACGGGGCCUUGACACUGGCUGUUCCAGCCUCCAGAAUGGCUAGGAAUAAAUGUCUGCUCUUUAAGUCCCUGGUCGGUGGAGCUUUGUUAUGGCAGCACCAGGGGCUGGUUGAGAGCCUUUGCAUGGCCCUUGUUCCACCUGGAAUGAGAUUUCUAACUCUUGGCUACCUUACCCCCUUACCUCAUUGUUUCAUGUUGCAACCACCCACCCACUCCCCAUGUCUCUGGCAUUCUCAUUUAUUUUUUCUUUGAUUUCAUAGAACACAUCACAAAGCCAUUUGCUCAUGCAUGAUGUUUAUUGUCUAUUUUCUAUCUCCCUGCUAGAGGGUAAGAUGCUCAAGAACACUGCUCUAUCUGCCUCCCAGGACCCAGAAAAUGCUUGGCGUGUGGUAGAACUUAGAUAUAUUUGUGUUGAAUAAAUUAGUUGAAGGG